CCUACGGGAGGCAGCAGUGGGGAAUUUUGGACAAUGGAGGCAACCCUGAUCCAGCAAUGCCGCGUGAGUGAAGAAGGCCUUCGGGUUGUAAAGCUCUUUUGUCAGGGAAGAAACGGUGUUUCCUAAUACGGAAUGCUAAUGACGGUACCUGAAGAAUAAGCACCGGCUAACUACGUGCCAGCAGCCGCGGUAAUACGUAGGGUGCAAGCGUUAAUCGGAAUUACUGGGCGUAAAGCGUGCGCAGGCGGUUUUAUAAGUCUGAUGUGAAAUCCCCGGGCUCAACCUGGGAACUGCAUUGGAGACUGUAAGGCUAGAGUGUGUCAGAGGGGGGUAGAAUUCCACGUGUAGCAGUGAAAUGCGUAGAUAUGUGGAGGAAUACCGAUGGCGAAGGCAGCCCCCUGGGAUAACACUGACGCUCAUGCACGAAAGCGUGGGGAGCAAACAGGAUUAGAUACCCUGGUAGUCCACGCCCUAAACGAUGUCUACUAGUUGUCGGGUCUUAAUUGACUUGGUAACGCAGCUACGCGUGAGUAGACCGCCGUGGGAGGUACGGUCGCGAGAGUAAACGUAACAAGAAGUAGACGGCGUGAGACGUGCCGACGGACGACGACGAGGGAGGAGG
rnacentral:rRNA from 1 species